UUCCGGUUGAUCCCGCCGGAGGCCAUUGCUAUCGGAGUCCGAUUUAGCCAUGCUAGUCGAGCGAGGUUAGCCCUCGCGGCGAACAGCUCAGUAACACGUGGCCAAGCUACCCUGCAGAGGGGGACAGCGUCGGGAAACUGACGGGAAUCCCCCAUACCGGUCUCACGCUGGAAUGCCGAGACCGACAAACGCUCCGGCGCUGCAGGAUGCGGCUGCGGCCGAUUAGGUAGUCGGUGGGGUAACGGCCCACCGAGCCAAUAAUUGGUACGGGGUGUGAGAGCACGAGCCCGGAGACGGAAUCUGAGACAAGAUUCCGGGCCCUACGGGGCGCAGCAGGCGCGAAACCUUUACACUGCACGAACGUGCGAUAAGGGGACUCCGAGUGCGAGGGCAUACAGUCCUCGCUAUUGUGUACCGUAGGGUGGUACACGACCAAGAGCUGGGCAAGACCGGUGCCAGCCGCCGCGGUAAUACCGGCAGCUCGAGUGAUGGCCGAUUUUAUUGGGCCUAAAGCGUCCGUAGCUGGCCCUGCAAGUCCGUCGGGAAAUCCACUCGCCUAACGAGUGGGCGUCCGGCGGAAACUACAGGGCUUGGGACCGGAAGACUUGAAGGGUACGUCUGGGGUAGGAGUGACAUCCUGUAAUCCUGGACGGACCGCCCAUAGCGAAAGCACCU
rnacentral:rRNA from 1 species